UAAAAAAACAAUAUUAAAAAAAAUUAACAAUUAUACCUAACAACCUAACCUAGCCUAACAACCAUUUUUUUCAUGUGAUAUUUAUUUUAACAACUUACUACUGUAGUACUGUAGUUGUACGAUUAUAGAUAAAUCUAUAAUGGUACCUACAAUAUGUUAACAUCGAUCGUUAUCUAUACGUACUUAUAUUAUUUUAUUCUUACUUAAUUGAUAAUAAUAGAUAUGUACCAAGGUAAUAAUCACGGUCUUAGAAAAUAAGGUCGGACAACUAUAAUUUCUUAUCAGCAUUCCGCUUAAUGAGGCAAAUUCAUUUCCAAAUUGUACCAUUGUAAAAUUGAACGCUACCCCACAUACUUAUUUUGAGAUUAUGAUAUUAUAUUACUUUAAAAAACCAUGAACCACUGAUAUAUAUUAUACAAGUCGGCUGACUUCGUAUAUUGUUGUAUGCUUCGAUAUGUCAUCCGGCAUUUGUAAAUAGGUUAAUGUUUGCUAAAAUAGACCUCUUUUUGAAAAUACCUAUAGAUCUAUCUACCUAUAUGAUAUUCACAAUUCCCAUAUUUCCAAUUAUUCCAAUUAAAUAAUUUUUGAUAUUUUAUCAAGUGAAUUAUUAAAAAAUUCAUCCAAGGAAUGUGCUUUAACAAGGA